ACCCCAACUUCACCUCGGCCUCAAGCACAACCUAGCCCAUCUAUGGUGGGUCAUCAACAGCCAACUCCAGUUUAUACUCAGCCUGUUUGUUUUGCACCAAAUAUGAUGUAUCCAGUCCCAGUGAGCCCAGGCGUGCAACCUUUAUACCCAAUACCUAUGACGCCCAUGCCAGUGAAUCAAGCCAAGACAUAUAGAGCAGGUAAAGUACCAAAUAUGCCCCAACAGCGGCAAGACCAGCAUCAUCAGAGUGCCAUGAUGCACCCAGCGUCAGCAGCGGGCCCACCGAUUGCAGCCACCCCACCAGCUUACUCCACGCAAUAUGUUGCCUACAGUCCUCAGCAGUUCCCAAAUCAGCCCCUUGUUCAGCAUGUGCCACAUUAUCAGUCUCAGCAUCCUCAUGUCUAUAGUCCUGUAAUACAGGGUAAUGCUAGAAUGAUGGCACCACCAACACACGCCCAGCCUGGUUUAGUAUCUUCUUCAGCAACUCAGUACGGGGCUCAUGAGCAGACGCAUGCGAUGUAUGGUAGGAAGCACUUUGUUUGUCUCUUCCAGUGUGUGUGACUCUUCUUAAUUUAAGUUUCUGAAAACAUACUCUAUCUAAGAAUAACCUGACCUUUUAUGACAUUGAGGGUCAAGAAUCUGAAGGAAAAGAUGAACCCAUUUCUUUGCCUGACUUGCUUUAUAACUUUUGGCAAAUAGUUUCUACUUCUGUACCUGGUCUUCAGAUCUCUUUCCUGCUUUAACUAAAAUGUAAUGAUGUAUAUAAUGGCAAAGCAUCUUUGUGGAGAAAGGUACCUUUCUCCUCUUCCUCAU
rnacentral:lncRNA from 1 species